AAAUACCCUUUCUUCCCUUUCUAUUUCUCUCCUAGUAAUAUCCCCUGACCGAAUCACACAAUCCAACCAACUCUCUUUAAGCCUCCCUCACUGAUUCCAUGGAUUUCAUGGACUUAUCCCACCCUCUCUCCUUCCCUCUAUAUAUAGCAAGUCCCCUUGCCUCAGUGUCCCUGGCAACAGAAUUUAUGGCAUUUCUUCGUUCUUUCAAUUAUUUGAAAGCUUCCUAGCCCUGCAAUCUUGUACAAAGGCGUAUGGUGUUUCAUCAGUUCCAUUUGGUGGUUGGGUGGGAAAUGAAAUUAAAACACUGCAUUUCAAAUGCAUUUCAAAUGGUCUAAACCAAAUUGAAUCAAAUGUGAAGCAAAGGGCAAGAGGUGUAGAUUGAAGAACAAUGGCACCAAGAGCGAAAUUGAACUUGUUGACAGGAGGAAACCAAGCAAAACAAAGACGUUUGCAAGGGAGCAACCCUGGGUUCAUUUGUUCUGUAACUGCUGGUCAUUGCGGCAUAUCACGCCUAUAGCACUGACAAAAGUAAAAAGAGAAUCGAAUGAAAUUUGAUAAGUUUUCAGCGGACUACAAAGAUCUUAAGCCAAGCAUAUAUUCCCAUGCAGAUAUUAAGAGGUUUACAAAUCAAUUCAAGUACAAGUUGGGCCAAGGAGCAUACGGAACUGUUUUUAAACGAAAGUUUUUUUCUGAAUGCUUUGUUGCCAUGAAAGUACUUAACAUUUCCAAGGGUGACGGGGAAGAGCUUGUAAAUGAAGUGGGAACAAUGGGCCAUAUUCACCAUGUCAAUGUGGUUCACUUGGUUGGUUUUUGUGCUGAUGGAUUUAGAUGAGCUCUGGUUUAUGAGUUCUUUCCCUUUGGUUCACUCCAGGAUUAUAUUUCAUCAGCAGAUAGAUUUCUUUCCUUGGUUGGCAUAA